CACCAAAUGACUCCUCCCACAAUAUUAUGAUGUUUCCCAAGUUUUGGUCUCAAUCCGAUAUCGAUUAGUCCUUGAAAUCGGCCAAUUCAGGUUUGUACGAAGUUCGUUCUGAAAUGAGGUGAUUGGUGUAUUGUAUAGUUCUAGAGAUUGGGUUUCACUCAAAACCCACCAAAUGACUCCUCCCACAAUAUUAUGAUGUUCCCCAAGUUUUGGACUCAAUCCGAUAUCGAUUGGGGCUUGAAAUCGGACAAUUCAGGUUCGUACGUAGUUCGUUCUGAAAUGAAGUGGUUGGUGUAUUGUAUAGUUCUAGGAAUUGUAUUUCAAUCAAAUCCCACCAAAUGGCACCUCCCACAGUGUUAUGAUGUUCCCCAAAUUUUGGACUCAAUCGUGAUAUCGAUUGGUCCUUGAAAUCGGAAAAUUCAUGUUCUUACGAUGUUCGUUCUGAAAUGGGGUGGUUGGUGUAUUGUAUAGUUCUAGAGAUUGGAUGUCACUCAAAACCCGCCAAAUGACUCCUCCCACAAUAUUUUGAUUUUCCCCAAGUUCUGGACUCAAUCCGAUAUCGAUUGGUCCUUGAAAUCGAAAAAUUAAGGAUCGUACGAAGUUCGUUCUGAAAUGGGGUGGUUCGAUUUCACUCAAAACCCACCAAAUGACUACUCCCACAAUAUUAUGAUGUUCCCCAUGUGUUGGACUCAAGCUGAUAUCGAUUGGUCCACGAAAUUUGACAAUUCAGGUUCGUUCAAAGUUCCUUAUGAAAUGGAGUGGUGGAUGUAUUGCAUAGUUCUAGGGAUUGGAUUUCACUCAAAACAAAUCAAACGAUUCCUCCCACGAUAUUAUGAUGUUCCCCAAGUUUUGGACUCAAUCCGAUAUCGAUUGGUCCACGAAAUUUGACAAUUCAUGUUCGUACGAAGUUCGUUCUGAAAUGGAGUGGUUGGUUUAUUGUAUAGUUCUAGGGAUUGGAUUUCACUCAAAAGCCACCAAAUGACAACUCCACAAUAUUAUGAUGUUCCCCAAGUUUUGGACUCAAGCCGACAUCGAUUGUUCCAGAACAUUUGACAAUUCUGGUUCGUACGAAGUUCGUUUGGAAAUGGAGUGGUUGGUGUAUUCUAUAGUUCUAGGGAUUCGAUUUCACUCAAAACCCACCAAAUGACUCCUCCCACAAUAUUAUGAUGUUCCCCAGGUUUUGGACUCAAUCGGAUAUCGAUUGGUCCACGAAAUUUCACAAUUCAGGUUCGUACGAAGUUCGUUCUGAAAUGGGGUGGUUGGUGUAUUGUAUAGUUCUCGGGAUUGGAUUUCACUCAAAACCCACCAAAUGACUCCUCCCACAAUAUUAUGAUGUUCCCCAGGUUUUGGACUCAAUCCGAUAUCGAUUGGUCCACGAAAUUUGACAAUUCAGGUUCGUACGAAGUUCGUUCGGAAAUGGAGUGGUUGGUGUAUUGUAUAGUUCUAGGGAUUGAAUUUCACUCAAAACCCACCAAAUGACUCCUCCCACAAUAUUAUGAUGUUCCCCAAGUGUUGGACAUAAUCCGAUAUCGAUUGGUCAAUGAAAUCGGACAAUUCAUGUUCGUACAAAGUUCGUUCUAAAAUGGAGUGGUUGGUGUAUUGUAUAGUUCUAGGAGUUGGAUUUCACUCAAAACCCACCAAAUGACUCCUCCCACAAUAUUAUGAUGUUCCCCAAGUUUUGGACUCAAUCCGAUAUCGAUUGGUCAUUGAAAUCGGACAAUUCAGGUUCGUACGAAGUUCAUUCUGAAAUGGAGUGGUUGGUGUAUUGUAUAGUUCUACAAAUUGGAUUUCACUCAAAACCCACCAAAUGACUCCUCUCACAAUAUUAUGAUGUUCCCCAAGUUUUGGAAACAAUCCGAUAUCGAUUGGUCAAUGAAAUCGGACAAUUCUUGUUCAUACGAAGUUCGUUCUAAAAUGGAGUGGUUGGUGUAUUGUAUAGUUCUAGGUGUUGGAUUUGACUCAAAACCCACCAAAUGACUCCUCCCACAAUAUUAUGAUGCUCCCCAAGUUUUGGACUCAAUCCGAUUUCGAUUGGUCCUUGAAAUCGGACAAUUCAGGUUCGUACGAAGUUCGUUCUGAAAUGGGGUGGUUGGUGUAUUGUAUAGUUCUAGAGAUUGGAUUUCACUCCAAGCCCACCAAAUGACUCCUCCCACAAUAUUAUGAUGUUCCACAGGUUUUGGACUCAAUCCGAUAUCGAUUGGUCCUUGAAAUCGGAGAAUUCAGGUUCGUACGAAGUUCGUUCUGAAAUGGGGUGGUUAGUGUAUUGUAUAGUUCUAGAGAUUGGAUUUCACUCAAAACCCACCAAAUGACUCCUCCCACAAUAUUAUGAUGUUCCCCAAGUUUUGGACUCAAUCCGAUAUCGAUUGGUCCACGGAAUUUGACAAUUCAGGUUCGUACGAAGUUCGUUCUAAAAUGGAGGGGUUGGUGUAUUCUAUAGUUCUAGAGAUUGGAUUUCACUCAAACCCAACAAAUGGCUCCUCCCCCAAUAUUAUGAUGUUCCCCAAGUUUUGGACUCAAUCCGAUAUCGAUUGGUCCACGAAAUUUGACAAUUCAGGUUCUUUCAAAGUUCCUUAUAAAAUGGAGUGGUAGAUGUAUUGUAUAGUUCUAGGGAUUGGAUUUCACUCAAAACCCACCAAACGACUCCUCCCACAAUAUUAUGAUGUUCCCCAAGUUUUGGACUCAACCCAAUAUUGAUUGGUCCAUGAAAUCGGACAAUUCAGGUUCGCAGGAAGUUCAUUCUGAAAUAGAGUAUUUGGUGUGUUGAGUUGUUUUAGCCGUUGGAUUGCACUCAAAACUCAUAAACUGACUCCUCCCACAACAUUAUGAUGUUCCCCAAGUUUUGGACUCAAUCCGAUAUCAAUUGGUCCCGGAAAUCAGACAAUCCAGGUUUGUACGAAGUUCGUUAUAAAAUGUAGUGGUUGGUGCAUUGUAUAGUUCCAGCGGUUGGAUUUCAUUCAAAACCCACCAAAUGACUCCACCCACAAUAUUAUGAUGUUCCCCAAGUUUUGGACACAAUCCGAUAUCGAUUGUCAAUGAAAUAGGACAAUUCAAGUUUGUACGAAGUUCGUCCAAAAAUGGAGUGGUUGGUGUAUUGUAUAGUUCUAGAGAUUGGAUUUCACUCAAAAUCCACCAAAUGGCUCCUUCCACAAUAUUGUGGUGUUCCCCAAGAUUUGGACUCAAUCCGAUAUCGAUUGGUCCUUGAAAUCAGACAAUUCAGGUUCGUACGAAGUUCGUUCAGAAAUGGGGUGGUUGGUGUAUUGUAUAGUUCUAGAGAUUGGAUUUCACUCCAAGCCCACCAAAUGACUCCUCCCACAAUAUUACGGUGUUCCACAAGUUUUGGACUCAAUCCGAUAUCGAUUGGUCCUUGAAAUCGGACAAUUCAGGUUCGUACGAAGUUCGUUCUGAAAUGGGGUGGUUGGUUUAUUGUAUAGUUCUAGAGAUUGGAUUUCACUCAAAGCCCACCAUGACUCCUCCGACAAUAUUAUGAUGUUCCCCAGGUUUUGGACUCAAUCCGAUAUCGAUUGGUGCACGAAAUUUGAUAAUUCAUGUUCGUACGAAGUUCGUUCUAAAAUGGAGUGGUUGGUGUAUUGUAUAGUUCUCAGGAUUGGAUUUCACUCAAAAUCCACCAAAUGACUCCUCCCACAAUAUUAUGAUGUUCCCCAAUUUAUGGACACAAUCCGAUAUCGAUUGGUCAAUGAAAUCGGACAAUUCAAGUUCGUAUGAAGUUCGUUCUGAAAUGGAGUGGUUGGUUUAUUGUAUAGUUCUAGGGGUUGGAUUUCACUCAAAAGCCACCAAAUGACAACUCCACAAUAUUGUGAUGUUCCCCAAGUUUUUUACUCAAUCCGACAUCGAUUGUUCCAGGAAAUUUGACAAUUCAGGUUCGUACGAAGUUCGUUCGAAAAUGGAGUGGUUAGUGUAUUCUAUAGUUCUAGGGAUUGAUUUUCACUCAAAACCCACCAAAUGACUCCUCCCACAAUAUUAUGAUGUUCCCCAGGUUUUGACUCAAUCCGAUAUCGAUUGGUCCACGAAAUUUGACAAUUCAGGUUUGUACGAAGUUCGUUCUAAAAUGGGGUGGUUAGUGUAUUGUAUAGUUCUCGGGAUUGGAUUUCACUCAAAACCCACCAAAUGACUCCUCCCACAAUAUUAUGAUGUUCCCCAAGUUUUGGACUCAAUCCGAUAUUCGAUUGUUCCACGAAAUUUGACAAUUUAGGUUCGUACGAAGUUCGUUCGAAAAUGGAGUGAUUGGUGUAUUGUAUAGUUCUGGGGAUUUAAUUUCACUCAAAACCCACCAAAUGACUCCACCCACAAUAUUAUGAUGUUCCCCAAGUUUUGGACUCAAUCCGAUAUUGAUUGUUCCACGAAAUUUGACAUUUCAGGUUCGUACGAAGUUCAUUCUGAAAUGGAGUGGUUGGUGUAUUGUAUAGUUCUAGAGAUUGGAUUUCACUCAAAACCCACCAAAUGACUCCUCCCACAAUAUUAUGAUGUUCCCCAAGUUUUGGAUUCAAUCCGAUAUCGAUUAGUCCACGAAAUUUGAACAUUCAGGUUCCUACGAAGUUUGUUUUGAAAUGGAGUGGUUGGUGUAUUGUAUAGUUCUAGGGAUUGGAUUUCACUCAAAACCCACCAAAUGACUCCUGCCACAAUAUUAUGAUGUUGCCCCAGUGUUGGACUCAAACCGAUAUCGAUUGGUCCUUGAAAUCAGACAAUUCCGGUUCGUACGAAGUUCGUUCUGAAAUGGGCUGGUUGGCGUAUUGUAUACUUCUAGAGAUUGGAUCUCACUCAAAACCCACCAAAUGACACCUCCCACAAUAUUUUGAUGUCCCCCAAGUUUUGGACUCACUCCGAUAUCCAUUGGUCCUUGAAAUCGGACAACUCAGGUUCGUACGAAGUUCAUUCUAAAAUGGGGUGGUUGGUGUAUUGUAUAGUUCUGGAGAUUGGAUUUCACUCAAAACCCACCAAAUGACUCCUCCCACAAUAUUACGUUGUUCCCCAAGUUUUGGACUCAAUCCGAUAUCGAUUGGUCCUUCAAAUCGGACAACUCAAGUUCGUACGAAGUUCGUUCUGAAAUGGGGUGGUUGGUGUAUUGUAUAGUUCUAGGGAUUGGAUCUCACUCAAAACCCACCGAAUGACUCCUCCCACAAUAUUUUGAUGCCCCCAAGUUUUGGACUCAAUCCGAUAUCGAUUGGUCCUUGAAAUUUGACAAUUCAGGUUCGUACAAAGUUCGUUCUGAAAUGGGGUGAUUGGUGUAUUGUAUAGUUCUAGAGAUUGGAUUUCACUCAAAACCCAC
rnacentral:lncRNA from 1 species